CGCUGGCGGCGUGCCUAAUACAUGCAAGUCGAACGGUCUUUUCUAUGGAAGCUUGCUUCCACUGAGAAGAUAGUGGCGAACGGGUGAGUAACACGUGGGUAACCUGCCCAUAAGAGGGGGAUAACAUCCGGAAACGGGUGCUAAUACCGCAUAGUUUUCUUGAUUGCAUGAUUGAGAAAGGAAAGACGGCCUUUGUGCUGUCGCUUAUGGAUGGACCCGCGGCGUAUUAGUUAGUUGGUGAGGUAACGGCUCACCAAGACGAUGAUACGUAGCCGACCUGAGAGGGUGAUCGGCCACAUUGGGACUGAGACACGGCCCAAACUCCUACGGGAGGCAGCAGUAGGGAAUCUUCCGCAAUGGACGAAAGUCUGACGGAGCAACGCCGCGUGAGUGAAGAAAGGUUUUCGGAUCGUAAAACUCUGUUGUCAGAGAAGAACAAGUUGGAGAGUAACUGCUCCAGCCUUGACGGUAUCUGACCAGAAAGCCACGGCUAACUACGUGCCAGCAGCGGC
rnacentral:rRNA from 1 species